CGGUAUUAAAAGGCGUGCCAGUCUCUGGUCUGGGGUCCCGAGACUACGAGCUCAGCGGUUAGUGAUACUGUAGUUAUAGCUGAUCACCCCCGAACAAGGAGUCGACCAUGAGCUGCACCUACAUUCUGGCCGGUAUCCUGGUCGUGGCCAUCACAACAUCGGGAGUCGCGGCGUCAGCGACUUCGUGUGUCAACGUUACCCUCAGCAAUAUAUUGGGCAUUGGAAACUGUAUUGGCGAUUCUACAAACUUCUGCAGCAGUGCCAACGCAAGUUCUACGACCCAAGGUAUCACGACGAUAACCAGA